rnacentral:lncRNA from 1 species
CUGUGGUAUCCUCCCAUGAAAUCCAUUCUUGUUUAGUGUUUUACGUAUUGUAGAUUCGCUAACAGGGAUGUUAGCAUUUGCCAGUGACUUUUGUAAGUCUUUAGCUGACACUCUAGGAUUCUUCUUCACCUCAUUGAGCAGUCUGCUCUGUGCUCUUGCAGUCAUCUUUACAGGACGGCCACUCCUAGGGAGAGUAGCAGCAGUGCUGAACUUUCUCCAUUUAUAGA